rnacentral:rRNA from 1 species
UUUCCGGUUGAUCCUGCCGGAGGCUAUUGCUAUCGGUGUCCGAUUUAGCCAUGCUAGUCGUGCGAGUUCAGACUCGCGGCACCGAGCUCAGUAACACGUGGCCAAACUACCCUACAGAGACGGAUACCCUCGGGAAACUGAGGUUAACCCGUCAUACCGAUCUCAAGCUUGAAUCGCAGAGAUCACAAAAUGCCCCGGCGCUGUAGGAUGUGGCUGCGGUUGAUUAGGUAGACGGUGGGGUAACGGCCCACCGUGCCCAUAAUCAGUACAGGUUGUGAGAGCAAGAACCUGGAGACGGAAUCUGAGACAAGAUUCCGGGCCCUACGGGGCGCAGCAGGCGCGAAACCUUUACACUGCACGCACGUGCGAUAAGGGGACUCCGAGUGCGAGGGCAUAUCGUCCUCGCUUUCGUGUACCGUAGGGUGGUACACGACCAAGAGCUGGGCAAGACCGGUGCCAGCCGCCGCGGUAAUACCGGCAGCCCGAGUGAUGGCCGAUCUUAUUGGGCCUAAAGCGUCCGUAGCUGGCUGCGCAAGUCCGUCGGGAAAUCCACUCGCCCAACGAGUGGGCGUCCGACGGAAACUGCAUAGCUUGGGACCGGAAGGCUCGAAGGGUACGUUCGGGGUAGGAGUGAAAUCCUGUAAUCCUGGACGGACCGCCGAUGGCGAAAGCACCUCAAGAAAACGGAUCCGACAGUGAGGGACGAAAGCCAGGGUCUCCAACCGGAUUAGAUACCCGGGUAGUCCUGGCCGUAAACAAUGUUCGCUAGGUAUGACACAGACUACGUGCCUGUGCUGUGUUCGUAGGGAAGCCGAGAAGCGAACCGCCUGGGAAGUACGUCCGCAAGGAUGAAACUUACAGGAAUUGGCGGGGGAGCACUACAACCGGAGGAGCCUGCGGUUUAAUUGGAUUCAACGCCGGGA